GAGAUAAAUAUUAUUUGUUUAACACUUUCGAUACCAACCUAGCUGAAACCGCUCCUGGCCUUGUAAUAAAAAUGUCUUGUUUCCAUAAGUUUUGAAUUAAAAAUCUUCCACCAAACCUUAGUCACAAUUUAUGUUCCUAACACUAGCUUAAUGACAACUAAGUUAUUUUACUAAAUUCUUUGUUAUAUUUAAAAUAAUUGAAAGAAACACACAGCAUCUCAGUAGAAAUAUGGUUAACAAAAGGG